ACUAUAAAUAAACUGUAAUAUUAAAUUAAAAAAUACAUGAUAAAUAUGGUGUAAAUAUUAAAACUAAAUGGUGUAUUUAAAUGUAAUACAAAUUAGAAGAUAAAGAAAUAUAAUAUUAUGCUUGUAUAUGAUAUAAAAAGUUUUAUCAUAAAAAUAUUGAGAUAGAAUAAUAACUUCAAAUUAAAACAAGUUUUACAGACAAAAAAGUGUAUGAAACACUCCUUUUAGCACGUGUAUUGCAUAUCAAGUGGUUCCUCCACUUUUUUCACAAAAAGACAAAUAUAUUUGUACUGCUUGUGGUUCCUCCAUCUUUUCUAAUUAAUAUGUAAAAUUUUGUGAAUGGGAAAUUAUAAGAUAGAGGCUACACAUUAGGGUAUGAUCCACCUUUGCUCCACUCUCCCUAUUCUCAACCUAGAUUUACCUUUCCAUUGACUGGGUUUAUUCACCGUCUUUGCCAUUUUGCCUUUGAAAAUUCAAAUCAAAAAUCGAGACGAGUUAACGUCAGAUUUGGCAAUCUUAGAAGCUGCCUAGUGGUUUCCGGGAAGUUUCCAUCCCUUACUUAUUAAUCAAGAAGCAUUUUUAAUAAUAAACCCUGAUUUAGUAAACUAAUAACAUUUUUACCAUUAUGGCUGAUGUGGCACUCUCACAGUCCUCUUCAGCUAACUAAACUAAUAGACUUUUAUUUACUAGGAUAUUUACAAUUAUUGCCAUUAGGACCUACUUAACCAAAUGAUAAUAUGAAAUGAAUACGGCAUUACCCGGUUCGUGUAAUAGGACAAUAGUCUGUUUAAAUUAUAAAUCUAACCAGUUUUCUCAAUUCAAAAGAGGGUAAAUGGGCUACGAAGCUCAACUAUAAACCAUGACUCUGUUCUUCGUCUGCACCACUUUCUCACAGUCUCGAGUUGAUUGCUUCUCCAAUCUUCCUCGCGUCACUUUGAUGUUGUAUGUUGUUUCAUAAGAGAGAGCAAGACAUGUGGAGAAAUCUGCAAAGCAAAGAUCAAUGCAUUUGAUGCCACGGUGAUCUGGGACGAGCAAGGCUCGAGCUAAGCAUUUAAAGAGACUGUUUUGUUUCUAUGACCAUAUUAGUAAAGAACCUACAGCAUUGAAUUAAAGGCAGUUGAGAGCUGCGCAGUCCUCAGAUGUGAGUAAAAGAUGCAGUCCUCAGAUAUGAAUAUGAACAUGUUUGUGUAUGUUGUUUCGUAAGAGUUUGCCGGUUACGAGCACUAAUAAACCGGAGUCCUCAAAUGUGGGUAAAAGUUUUGAGAGCAUUACUUAAGCUGUGAUUUUUCGUUGAUCAUUGUCUCUGACUAUCCUAUUGCAUUUGGUAUUAAAAUGUGCAGGCGUAAGUAUGAAUAAUGAAGAGAAUAAAGCAUGUUUUAUUGGCUUAAGGGCUGUAAUUUAAAAUUAUUUUCUCAUAACAGUU